UCGGCCUGCGCGCGCCGCCUCCGCGGCGUCCCGCUUGGCCCCGAUCGGCCCCGGAGCCCCCCAGAAGCUGCGGCUCCCGCUCUCCUCGCCAACGCCAAGUGAAGAAACGCCAGGUUUGCUUCUUAGAGGAACCCUGGGGCCAGCAUGUUACUUAAGAGGCUGGUUCAGUCCCUGAGAGCCUGAGGCUCUAAGUUGCUGCUGGACAGAAGGCUGGAGGGGCACAAGAAGUUGGGAGAGAACACAGCCAGGACAGCUUACCUAAGCUGGCCAAAGGAUAUUCCAUACCAUAUGACAUCAUGCCUGGGGGCAAGAUAGCUGGGAGUGGCUGAUCACUGAUCAGGGAAUGACAAGCAUCAGUCAGCACGAGAAAUGGCUUCACACAAACCCAUGACAACAGUUUUCCUAAAAAGCCUUUGUACAACACCAAUCUGCACAGCUGUAAGCAAACUUUCCUAAUCUGCUAGGGUUUUUACUAGACAAAAGAAAGUUAUGACAGGGAAUAGCAAGGAAAUUCCACCCUGCCUGACUACCUGUAGUUGUAGAAAGCACAGGGAAAAAGAAAAUACACAAGCAGUCUCCUCCUUUCCCUAAAUAAGCAAACAAUGGAAAGGUAAAUUUUUUGAUAUGUAACUCUUCUGCCACUCAAUUAUAUUAAUCUCUGCUUGCCAUGUUCUUCUGGCGUUAAUUCCUUAUUUGUUGUUGCAGUUCCCUGAUAGGCUAUGAUUUUUAACAGAGAAAAUGAUAUCUGAAAGAAUGUGAAUGUGGAUUACUCCACUUUCAUCUUGUCUUGGCAAGCAUAAGCUAAUCAGUAGUCUAUGCACCUGGAAUGCAUUCUUUUUCUCAUGAAUUUUACAGAGCAGAUAGCACCAGUGGAACUUGACUUGAGGCAUCAGAAGCUGAAAAAUAAAGAGAUUAUGGUUGCUGGGGUUGAACAACAGUCACUUAUUUGAAAUGCCAAUUACAAAAGGAGAAAAAAAAUGAUAACACUGAGGACAGCUCAUGUGGUGUCCUUGAAAAAAAGAGACUGAAAGUUAUUAAUUUAUAUCUGCUUUAACAACUUUCACCUUGGAAACCUAAAAAGCAGUAAGACAAAAUCAGAGACUUCAAAUGUCCACACUGCCCACAUCUGUUGAAUUUCAUAGGAAUCUCACAUAAGUGCACUGGGGUUAGCAUUCAGCUUCUUCCUGCAAACACUGAACUUCCACUAAAGUUAAAAUUAAUUCAGGCAGUUGGGGUAAAAGGUCAUAGUACACCUAGCUGCAAUGUUCCUGCUGUUUUGGGAAUCAAACCACAGGCAAUCUGCAAAAACAAGCCCAAUGGUAUGUACCAUCUGGGAGACAGAACAAAUACACUAUAAAGGAAAUGUGGCUCUGCAGCUAUGGAACUCCAGCUGAAGUCAUCCUGAGCUUAACUGUCCUGCUAGGAGAAGAAUCUGUACUCUGAAGCAAUGGAGGGGAAGUGACUGUUUAUGGAGGUGAUGCAUGAGAAAGAAAUUUCUGCUAAGUAAGGCUUGCAGACUUCAUUUUUAUUGUUGUUAAUGUGAAUGGACCAUUUAAAUAUGGAACUGUAAAUGUAUGUAUUUGUGGUCAAACAUCUGUGAAGGAACACAAAGAGUUAAAAAUGCAUAGAAAAGCUUUAGAGAAAAAACAUGGCAAACCACCAGAACUUAUUUCAUUCAUUCAAUUUGUUUGGUUCUUAUAUUGGUCUGUAACCUUGGCUUCAAACCUUCUUCCCAGGGAUGUGCACCUUUCAGACAAAGUCACCCACUUCUGACUUCUCAGCACUCACAGGCUCUAAGUGAGCAGCAUAUUUUGUUCUGUGCCAGAAUUAAAGUGAUUCCUGUGCCUGAA